rnacentral:ncRNA from 1 species
GAUAGCGCAGUACAAUGAAGAAUUGUAUGCUGCGUUCGGGAAGGAUGAAUCGCUCUCGAAAAGGAAUCUAUUGAUUCUCUCCUAAUUGGUUGGACCAUAGGUGUGAUGAUUUACUUCAC